UGAGCAAUCUGCCCUUCUCAUCGGAAUAAGCGUUGGAAACGACGUCUAAUGCCGAAUACGACCUCCUUUCGCAUGAUCGGAGGUGGAAAGCUCCGGCGGAGAAGGAUGAGUUCGCGGCCUAUCAGCUAGUUGGUGUGGGUAAUGGCCCACCAAGGCGACGACGGGUAGCCGGCCUGAGAGGGUGACCGGCCACACUGGGACUGAGACGCGGCCCAGACUCCGUACGGGAGGNAG
rnacentral:rRNA from 1 species